rfam:Dipodomys ordii contig_66306, whole genome shotgun sequence.
GGUGGCUUAAUGGUAGAGCGCUUGCCUUGCAUGUAUGAGGCCCUGGGUUUGAUUCCAGCACCA